rnacentral:tRNA from 1 species
UGCUUCGUUCGCCCAGUGGUUAGGGCACUGCCUUGUCAUGGCAGGGGUCACGGGUUCGAAUCCCGUACGAAGCGCAGC